rnacentral:lncRNA from 1 species
UCCAUCAACUGCACUUAAGAAUCUCAAACUAAUUAUUCGCGACUGUGUGUAUUUGAAACUACCAUGGGAAAUCUUGGAAUCAAACUUCCCUCCUCCGGAAGAGGAAGGAGACAAUUCAUAACAUAAGAGGACCAGAUAUGUGGGAAUGUUUGGGAGCCGAAAGAGGACGCCGUGUGCUCAGAGCUCCCUGGCGCAGAAAGAGGAGAGGGGGCUGCUAUGGAGAUCUGUGACAGAUCAGGACUACCUUCCUCGGAUGAUUGUAGCGAACAACCUUCGGCACUCUGUCACCUGACCAGCCUGUGACAAUUCAAUGACAGACUGUGGAGUCCAUGUCUGCAGUCUUAAUGAAGAGAACUGGGAACAAGUGAAUGACCAGCUGAGCUUUGGGGAAGUAUCAGACCACUUUUCCGUGACGGCAAGACCUGCUGCCACAGCAGUGAACCUUCAGCUGAGCAUUGC